rnacentral:rRNA from 1 species
CCUACGGGUUGCAGCAGUGGGGAAUAUUGCACAAUGGGCGCAAGCCUGAUGCAGCCAUGCCGCGUGUGUGAAGAAGGCCUUCGGGUUGUAAAGCACUUUCAGCGGGGAGGAAGGCGAUAAGGUUAAUAACCUUGUCGAUUGACGUUACCCGCAGAAGAAGCACCGGCUAACUCCGUGCCAGCAGCCGCGGUAAUACGGAGGUUGCAAGCGUUAAUCGGAAUUACUGGGCGUAAAGCGCACGCAGGCGGUCUGUCAAGUCGGAUGUGAAAUCCCCGGGCUCAACCUGGGAACUGCAUUCGAAACUGGCAGGCUAGAGUCUUGUAGAGGGGGGUAGAAUUCCAGGUGUAGCGGUGAAAUGCGUAGAGAUCUGGAGGAAUACCGGUGGCGAAGGCGGCCCCCUGACAAAGACUGACGCUCAGGUGCGAAAGCGUGGGGAGCAAACAGGAUUAGAUACCCGUGUAGUC